UUAGUAAAGGGAACCUGAAAUUGUGGAUUCGAGAGGCUACAAACAGUUAUUGAGGCCCACAGGUUAAUGGCCACCACCUGUGCCAAAAUUCCCAACCACAAAUGCAAAGCUGCACCGCGGCUCAAAGGAGAAUAGUUUUCUGUAGGUGCAUCUAGAACAUGAAGUUCUAGAUACAUUGUAGUCCUAUGAUGGCCUCCUAAUAUCCCCACGGUUUGGUGUUUUGUUUUUCUACUCCGGGUUACUUCAGGCCGUGGUGAGGUCUUUCAUGGUCCCUUUAUCCCCAGAGACGCGUUUUCAGUCUUCCUAUUUUUGCAAGGGGGUCCCAUUUAACUCCGAUUUAACCAGCGCAUCUUCUCAACCUCUGUAAGUCAGCCGCGAGCCUAGCUCAGCCCGUUACGACCCAGCGUGAACUCCUUGGCUGCUGUCCUCUUGGGGAAGGAAAACAAAGGACUGAAAGUGGACACGAAACACGUUUUCCGGUAUUCUACAAAUGGAAUCUCGGUCCUUUACAAUAUUUUUACUGAAAAAAUAAAAACGUUUUGGAAAUAACACAGUUAAAAGGUGCUGAAAACGCUCAUGAUUUCUAUGCUGAACAGAAAUGUUAUCAAUUGUACCAUAAAAAAAACUGAUUUUAGGAUAAA